rnacentral:rRNA from 1 species
UUGGAGGGCAAGUCUGGUGCCAGCAGCCGCGGUAAUUCCAGCUCCAAUAGCGUAUAUUAAAGUUGUUGCAGUUAAAAAGCUCGUAGUUGAAUUUCGGGGUCAGUAAAUUGGUCGUGCCACUGGUAUGUACUGGUCUUACUGGCUCCUCCUUCCUGAUGAACCGUAAUGCCAUUAAUUUGGUGUUGCGGGGAGACUGGACUGUUACUUUGAAAAAAUUAGAGUGUUUAAAGCAGGCUAACGCUUGAAUACAUUAGCAUGGAAUAAUGAAAUAGGACGUUCGAUCUUAUUUUGUUGGUUUCUAGGAUUGACGUAAUGAUUAAUAGGGAUAGUUGGGGGCAUUAGUAUUCAAUUGUCAGAGGUGAAAUUCUUGGAUUUAUUGAAGACUAACUACUGCGAAAGCAUUUGCCAAGGAUGUUUUCAUUAAUCAAGAACGAAAGUUAGGGGAUCGAAGACAAUCAGAUACCGUCGUAGUCUUAACCAUAAACUAUGCCGACUAGGGAUCGGAUGAUGUUAAUUUUUUAAUGACUCAUUCGGCGCCUUACGGGAAAC